rnacentral:misc_RNA from 1 species
UUUUUUAAAUUCUUAUAAGGUAUAAUUUAUCAUAGUUUACAUAUUCUUUCAAUAAUAGCAAUAAAAAACGUUUAGCAUAACACUUAUUUAUGCAUUUUUGGCACGUCUCAGGAAAACAAGAUCUGCAUAAAAAGAUGUAAAAAACUAUUUUUAUUUUUUAGCGUCUGGGAUCAUGUUUUUUAGUCUUUUGCGGAUCUUUGUUCUUGAUUUUCAAGUCGUGUCCUAAGAUUUGAAUUUUUAGUAGUGUUUUUUAAGUUGGAUAUAUCGAAAUGGGUAGAAAUAUUCUAAUAUGGAUAUUUUUUCUAUUAUUAUUAGUUUGGAAGUAUAUAAAAGUACUUAAAAAUUAUAUCAGAUGUGUUAUGUUUAGUGCAUUCCUACCAGGUCCUGAAGGAUUACCUUUUUUAGGGAAUAUCUUGACUUUAAAAAAUAGUGACCGUUUAGUAGAUUUAGGAACCAAUGCUUCUCAGUACUUUGGUCGAAUAUUCAGAGCUUGGGUACUCUUCCUGCCUUUCGUAUUCGUCUAUGAACCGGAUGACUUGAAGAUCAUUUUGUCGAAUUCAAAAGCUUCUGAAAAAAAUUUCUUGUAUUGUAUCAUGCAUACUUUCAUUGGGGAUGGAUUGAUAACAAAUAACGGUGGAAAAUGGAAACAAAACAGACGCCUCGUACAACAUUAUUUCCAAAUACAUUACAUUGAAAAUUACUUUGAUAUUUUUGCAAAUAUCUCCCAAGAAUUUACGGCAAAUUUAUCGACUAAAAAGUGCGUAAAAAUAACGGAAUUCGUUAAUUCCCUUGUACUUAAUAUUCUGCACAAAGCAGUGCUAGGAAUUUCAUCGACAGAUGACAAUCCGUUUAGAAGAGGUGAACUUCUUAUACUCAAGAGAAUUCUAAAACCCUGGUUAUUGUUGGAAACCGUUUUCAAACAUUCAGAUAUGUCAAAAAGAGAGAGGAGACAAAAUAUUACGCUUCACCAGUAUGUAAAGAAGGUUUUAAAUGAGAGACUUUGCGAAAGGAAGAAGAAAAAAAUAGUUACUUCUCCGUCACUCUUGGACUAUUUCAUUGAAUUGAUGGAGACCACACGAUUUUCUGAGAAGGAUGUUGUUAAUGAGAGUGUAACGUUCAUGUUAGCAGGACAAGAUUCUGUAGGAGCUACCAUUGCUUUCACUCUUUACUAUCUGGCUAAACACCAAGACAUCCAAGAAAAACUCCUGAAAGAGAUUACUGAUGUCUCUCCUGAGAAUGUUCCUUAUAGCUUGGAUCAAAUCAACAGAAUGACAUAUUUGGAGCAAUGUAUCAAAGAAACUAUGAGACUGGCUCCGAGCGUACCAAUAAUAUCCAGAGUUCUGACCAGUGAUAUUGUUUUAGAUAACUACACAUUACCAGCUGGUUUGAAUGUAUUUAUAUCACCCUUCAUUACGCACAGAUUGCCUCACAUUUUCAAAAAUCCCCUAAACUAUGAUCCUGAGCGAUUUUCUUCUGAAAAUUUGAAGAAAAUACCUUCACAUGGGUUUAUACCUUAUAGUGCAGGCCCUAGAAACUGCAUAGGUGAGUUCUUUAGUUUAUUAUCCUUUAGAAACCUUGUAUAAUAUCUCUAAUUCAUUAAAUAAAGAACCUAUACUAUAUAAUCAUCAACUGAUAUUGUAGCACUAAACAAUAAUUUAACUAAAAAUUUGAUACAAGGUAUCUCACUGUUAUGAUACAGUUCAGACGAGCAAUAAAAUAUAGCACUCUAUUCAAAAAACUACAAAUUUAGUGUAUAGUCUAUAAAAUGAAUAACUUUGAAUUUUGACCGUUAUUUUUUACCAACAUGGCAAAUAUAAAAUCCCUCU